UUUCUUCUCUAUUACAGUAUAUCAUUUUAUGCUGGUAGUUUACCAUCUUGGUCAUUUCAUAUAUGCCGUUAUUUGUAAGCAUUUAUCUUGCUGUGGAUUGAGGGUUCGGGCUAGAAUUUAAUUUGGUGGCUUCUGACCUGUAACUUCUCCUGUUAUGUUUAACUUUGAAAUGCUUUCAAACAAUUUGGCUUGUGAGCUAUAAAUUAAUCACCUUUUUUCGUUCUGGGUCUGAUUACUGAGCCGGGAGGGAAAAUAAAGAAAGAAUCUCAGCACCGAUUAAGCUCAUUUUUACUAAUGCUUCCGUUGGUACAGCCAGAGAGGAACUCAAACAUUGUCUCCCGAUCUAUUAUUUCAAGAUGGAAUUGAACUGCUAGGACAAUUUGAAUGAUUACGUUCAUCAUUCAAAUGGUAAAAUUCCAUUGCAAAAUGCAGAGCCUAAUUCUAGAAUGCUCUACUUAAUAUUUUCCAAUAAAUGUUGUAUUUGAAAUUUUAGAUUUGAUUAAAAAUAAGGAGUAACCACCACCCUCUUGUUAGAGUUUAAACGUGAGGUGUGAGAAAGUGGAAAAAAAUGUGGAAUAAAACUGUUGUGUGGAUAAAUGGUGCAUAAGAUCUUGUGAGGUGCUUGCUUUAGCAGUAUUAUGCUGCAAAUUUAUUGUAUUUGAUAACUUUUAUCAUUGAAUCAGCAUGUUCAAGCUAAUGCUCAUUACGAGCGAAUGUUCACUUCUCUCAUUUAAUGUGGAAUUAGGGUUUAAAAAUAGAAUGAAAAUCUUUAGUUUUUCUAAGUGGUAAUUUGGGCUUGGGUGCAGGUGAGUUUGAGCGAGUAGCAGGACGCACAUCAAAAGUAAAAGUGCACACACAUGGCACACAGUUUGUUAUUACUGGAUUCAACUAUUUGUUUUUGUGCAACUGGUGCUGAAAUUUGCAUAUUUUGUUAUGUAUAAAGGUACAGGUGAUUUGGGCGAGCGACCCAGUUUCACAACGGAGGGGAGGAG
rnacentral:misc_RNA from 1 species